GUCCCAGUGGAAUAAACGGUUAACUUGCUCAGCUACUAACUGAAAGGCUGGAGGUUCAAGUCCACCCAGAGGCA
rnacentral:tRNA from 1 species